UACGUAGGGGGCAAGCGUUGUCCGGAUUUAUUGGGCGUAAAGAGCUCGUAGGCGGUUUGGUAAGUCGGAUGUGAAAUCUCCAGGCUCAACCUGGAGGGGUCAUUCGAUACUGCCAUGACUAGAGUUCGGUAGGGGAGUGUGGAAUUCCUGGUGGAGCGGUGAAAUGCGCAGAGAUCAGGAGGAACACCCGUAGCGAAGGCGGCACUC
rnacentral:rRNA from 1 species